AGAUUGAACGCUGGCGGCAUGCCUUACACAUGCAAGUCGAACGGCAGCACGGGAGCAAUCCUGGUGGCGAGUGGCGAACGGGUGAGUAAUAUAUCGGAACGUGCCCAGUCGUGGGGGAUAACGCAGCGAAAGCUGUGCUAAUACCGCAUACGGUCUCUGGAUGAAAGCGGGGGACUCGCAAGGGCCUCGCGCGAUUGGAGCGGCCGAUAUCAGAUUAGCUAGUUGGUGGGGUAAAGGCCCACCAAGGCGACGAUCUGUAGCUGGUCUGAGAGGACGACCAGCCACACUGGAACUGAGACACGGUCCAGACUCCUACGGGAGGCAGCAGUGGGGAAUUUGGACAAGUGGGCGCAAGCCUGAUCCAGCAAU
rnacentral:rRNA from 1 species